UGUUUCUAUGUUUGUUUUUUUUUUUAUAACAUCUUCAUCACAGAUCAGUAAUAUGACCUCCAUUUUCUUUCUAGAUUUUAAUAGUUCAACAAGAAACGUCUGUUUCUAGUGAAAUUAAUAUUAAUUACAUUUAACUAAAUUUUGAAAUUGAGAGGUUAUUAUCUUCUUUUUUAGAAGGUAAAUUUAUACUCAUAAAUUACGUAACGUAAAUAAGAAUAAUUGCUAAACAAUAAAAAUAAUCAUACUAUUCGCCGUCCACUCCUUACCAAAGCAUAAAAUAAUAGUCGUGAUAACAUUCUUUCGGAUGUUCUGGUUUGGAAAAUAAUACAAAAUUGUUCAAAAUAGAAGGAAGAUUGCUUCCUAACAAUGGCCAAAAAAUUUCAGGAACGCAGUUUCCAAACAGAUUGAGAUUGGUUAUAGAAAUUAAUGAAAAAGUUAUGAGAAGUCGUAAAUCAUAAAGAUAUAAAUAUUAUGUAUGGUUAUUAUAGUACCUAAGAGAAAAAAAAAUACGUUUGUUAUGAAAUCUAUAUUUUAAAAAUCGCAUAUUAUUAAUAAUAAUAAAACCUUUGCCUUUCCUUUUUAAUUUAGAAGUUGUGCUACAGUAACGCCAUUUUUAAAUGACUUCAUUUGACAAACACAAUCGUGGACUGAAUUAAUAAAUUUAAUACAAAGUAAAUACUCUGCUUCCAUGGUGGCACCUUCUUCGUGCCGUCCCUCUUACUGGUGUUAGCGCGUAUCAUGACCACGAGUUUAAAAUACUUUUGUCUCAUAGCUCAUGUUGGGCACCGGGUUCACAUAAAUAAGGCACCUAUUAGGACAUUCUGGUGGUAGGACGUCUUAUGAGUUCGCACGGGUAGGCACCACCACCUUGUCUAUUUCUGCCGUGAAGCAGUAAUGCGUUUCGGUUUGAAGGGUGGGGCAGCCGUUGUACUUUUAAAGUGAGACCUUACAACUCAUGUCCCAAGGUGGGUUGCACGUGGGGGCAUUUACGUUGUAACAUCUAGGGGCUCCGGCCACCACUUAAAAUCAGUUGGGCCGUGAGCUCGUUCACCCAACGAAGCAAUAAAUAAAAAUUCAAACGCUACGCUAACGUCAAUGGGUUGCAGAUAUCACUAACAAUGUCCUAUCCAUUAGCCUGUUUGUAUUUAUACCGCGCAGAGAUGAGCGCCGAUUAUAGUAGAGCGGUGCUGUCUUGAGACUAAAAAUUUUCCACUGAAUUUCUCGUCGAUCUUCUCAGUGGGUCGCGUUUCCGAUCCGGUAGCAGAUUCUCCGAAGCACUGCUCUUGCUAGGACUAGUGUUAGCAACAAUUCCGGUUGGAACCCCGUGAGCGCUCACCUACACGUCAAGGAGAAGCUAAAAUAGCCUCUCAAGGCUAUCAUAAGAAAAAAAAGACUAAAAACUAAUACAUAUAGCACGGUAAGCAAUAAAAGGAAAACGUGUAAAAUAGACGUAGUGGGGAAAAUGUUGUGGAGUGCACGAUGCUACACGCGUGUAAAACUGACCCUAUGAUUUACAAAAUUAUAUCAUAACAAUUAUAUUAUCUAUGUUUGGGCGUGAAACAGGCCACAAAAUGAUAAUAAAAUGAAAUAACACACAAAUGAAACUAGUUGUUUGUAUUUCAUAUUUAUAUAAUUAUCUAAAAAUAUGAAUAAACAUCAUUUUAGUUUUCAACUAAUUUAAGUAAUGAAAGCAUGGAAACAUAUUUUUGGCUAAACUAUACACCACAGAGCCCCAAGUCUUGUAAUAUUUGGCAUAUUUAUACAUUUGAAUAGGCUUUUUGAGACAUUCACCAACAGUUCAUUAUAAUAUUGAACAUUAUGUUCCUUUAAUAAUCCAGUCUUUUUAUUUUUCAAAGUUUAUACAUUUUCUGAAUUGGGUCUUUGGGUAUGUGAACUUAUGUUUAGCAUAGCAUUAUUUCUCAACCUUCCAUGAUAACUAAGUUUGUCAUGUAAUUCCACAUGUUUAAAGAAAAAACAAUAAUUUAAUGAAAACAUGUUGUACUUUAUAUAUUAAGUAUAUGUGGACUUAUAGAGCCCGUCAUUUUCAUGUUAGUAAUUAUUUUACACAAUGUUACCAAAGUCAAAAAAAAUAGACAGUACCAUAAUACAAACUUACGUUCUAAGAUUUCUUAUAAAAGGUUAAUAAUUACUCUGAAAAAAAUGUAAUGAAAUCGUUACAAAUUAGAAAUAUUAUUUUAUUUUAAUGUCAUAUCUAUUUAGUAGUAAUGCACAGUAAGCAACUUCUUUUAAUAUACUUUUAUUCUAAAUUGGUCAAUUAUUUAGUGUAUUAUAAAUAACUAUUAGGUGGCAAUUAACAGGAUGUAUUGACUUUUUAUUAUUUUUAUCCUGUUUAAGAACAAAUUAGUGAAGAUUUCAAAUUUUAUCUAUUACGUUUCUUCAGUCUUCAUAGCACAUAAUUAUAAGGUUAAUAGUUUGAUAGUUUAUUAAGUUGCCAAGAUUUUAUUGAACAACCUAUUAUAUGAAAACUAUAUAUAAUUUAAAUGACAAUGUAUGUUAAUUCGAUAAUAAUCUUUAACCCACUUUUUCAAUGUUCAUUGAUACUGGAAAGAAAUAUGACAAAAUAAGUACAACUAGACUCUGUCAACACUUCUUCAACAAUGAUAGAUUCAGACCAGACAUUAGUCGACUUUGUGGUAAGUGGUGGUGGUGGAAGGUGAAUCUAAAAUGUUAAAGUUGUUCAGGUCUACAUAUAUACGAUAGUAAUGUAUAAAAAAAUAAUUACAGAGCCAGCACAGUGACCCAAAACAAGUGAUCGCAUAUAAUCAGUAAUGAAUCCACCACAUUUUGAGAAUCACUAUUUUCUCAAAAUUGUUAUUCAAUAACUAACAAAUGUAGAAUCUUUUAUUUUCUGACUAUGCUGCGCGACAUAUGUAUUCAUGACAUACAUUGCCAAGAGAUUUAUCAACAGCACUGAAAUAAUAGCCACAAUAGUAAGGCGUCUAAGCAACCAACCAAUACACAAUUUACUAAUUACAAAAAGAUGUACAAAAAAGUUGCUAAUUUAAAUUGACUAUUUACAUUGUUUAAAUUUAUUUAAUAUAUUAUGAACUUAAAUAAAGCACCAUUACAAAAAAAGUCACAAUGCAGGGGUAUCGUUUUUAAAUUAAUUAAAAAGUAAAAAUGUAACUAUAUUUAUAUAAAA